rnacentral:piRNA from 1 species
CCUAUUAAGGUCGCUUUGGAUGUG